GGGUGAGUGGCAGACGGGUGAGUAACGCGUGGGAACGUGCCUCAAGGUACGGAAUAGCACCGGGAAACUGGUGGUAAUACCGUAUAUCUCCUUCGGGAGAAAGAUUUAUCGCCUUGGGAUCGGCCCGCGUUGGAUUAGCUAGUUGGUGGGGUAAAGGCCUACCAAGGCGACGAUCCAUAGCUGGUCUGAGAGGAUGAUCAGCCACACUGGGACUGAGACACGGCCCAGACUCCUACGGGAGGCAGCAGUGGGGAAUAUUGGACAAUGGGCGCAAGCCUGAUCCAGCCAUGCCGCGUGAGUGAAGAAGGCCUUCGGGUUGUAAAGCUCUUUCACUGGCGAAGAUGAUGACGGUAGCCAGAGAAGAAGCCCCGGCUAACUUCGUGCCAGCAGCCGCGGUAAUACGAAGGGGGCAAGCGUUGUCCGGAAUUACUGGGCGUAAAGGGCGUGUAGGCGGAAUGCCAAGUUAGAUGUGAAAGCCCCGGGCUCAACCUGGGAAUUGC
rnacentral:rRNA from 1 species